UGGGGAAUUUUGGACAAUGGGCGAAAGCCUGAUCCAGCCAUGCCGCGUGAGUGAAGAAGGCCUUCGGGUUGUAAAGCUCUUUUAGUCGGAAAGAACGAGUUGCAAUGAAUAAUUGUGAUUUAUGACGGUACCGACAGACAAAGCACCGGCUAACUACGUGCCAGCAGCCGCGGUAAUACGUAGGGUUCGAGCGUUAAUCGGAAUUCCUGGGCGUAAAGGGUGCGCAGGCGGUCUUGCAAGUCAGAUGUGAAAGCCCCGGGCUUAACCUGGGAAUUUCGUUUGAAACUAGGAGACUAGAGUGCAGCAGAGGGGAGUGGAAUUCCAUGUGUAGCAGUGAAAUGCGUAGAGAUGUGGAAGAACACCGAUGGCGAAGGCAGCUCUCUGGGUUGACACUGACGCUCAUGAACGAAAGCGUGGGGAGC
rnacentral:rRNA from 1 species